rnacentral:lncRNA from 1 species
CUUAUCCUCGUUCUCCAGGUAGACGCCUGACUUCUUUAAUUCUCAUCCUCAUUCUCCAGGUGGGUGCCUUGACUGUUUCUUUUCUUUCUUCAUCCUCAUUCUCCAGGUGGACGCCUGACUUCUUCAAUUCUUCAUCCUCAUUCUCCAGGUGGACGCCUGACUUCUUUAAUUCUUUGUCCUCAUUCUCCAGGUGGACGCCUGACUUCUUUAAUUUCUUAUCCUCGUUCUCCAGGUGGACGCCUGACUUCUUUAAUUCUCUGUCCUCAUUCUCCAGGUGGUCUCCUGACUUCUUCUUUCUUU